CAAGUCGAACGGCAGCACGGGGCAACCUGGUGGCGAGUGGCGAACGGGUGAGUAAAGUAUCGGAACGUACCUUUCAGUGGGGGAUAACGUAGCGAAAGUUACGCUAAUACCGCAUAUUCUGUGAGCAGGAAAGCAGGGGAUCGCAAGACCUUGCGCUGAUUGAGCGGCCGAUAUCAGAUUAGCUAGUUGGUGAGGUAAAGGCUCACCAAGGCGACGAUCUGUAGCGGGUCUGAGAGGAUGAUCCGCCACACUGGAACUGAGACACGGUCCAGACUCCUACGGGAGGCAGCAGUGGGGAAUUUUGGACAAUGGGGGCAACCCUGAUCCAGCCAUGCCGCGUGAGUGAAGAAGGCCUUCGGGUUGUAAAGCUCUUUCGGCCGGGAAGAAAUCGCAUAGGUUAAUACCCUGUGUGGAUGACGGUACCGGAAUAAGAAGCACCGGCUAACUACGUGCCAGCAGCCGCGGUAAUACGUAGGGUGCGAGCGUUAAUCGGAAUUACUGGGCGUAAAGCGUGCGCAGGCGGUUUUGUAAGACAGGCGUGAAAUCCCCGGGCUCAACCUGGGAACUGCGCUUGUGACUGCAUCACUCGAGUACGGCAGAGGGGGGUGGAAUUCCACGUGUAGCAGUGAAAUGCGUAGAGAUGUGGAGGAACACCGAUGGCGAAGGCAGCCCCCUGGGCCGAUACUGACGCUCAUGCACGAAAGCGUGGGUAGCAAACAGGAUUAGAUACCCUGGUAGUCCACGCCCUAAACGAUGUCAACUAGGUGUUGGGUGGGUAAAACCAUUUAGUACCGUAGCUAACGCGUGAAGUUGACCGCCUGGGGAGUACGGCCGCAAGGUUAAAACUCAAAGGAAUUGACGG
rnacentral:rRNA from 1 species